GCCAUGUUAGAAUAUUGAUAUAUUGAACGUGGCGUAUUGGUGGCUUACAUUAAAUGGUUCUAAAAUUAGCAGCGCUGAGAACCUACUUUAAAAGCCUGAUUACCAACUUAAUUGGGUACACUGUGUCUACUAAGAUAAUACUAUUGAUUGAAGCUUCGAAUUCCUGCAUUGGUUCCUAGAUAUUUGAAGUUUGAUUCACGUGAAAAAUUCCUUAAAAAGAGGAAUUCUACCGGGCAUCUUUCAGACCUCGAGCCCUCCCAUCUCCCUGAGCAAUGGCUUCAAAGAUUUGGUUCAUUGCAGUUCUAUUGCUAGCGGUUAGCGUCGGCUUUGAAGCCUUCACAAUUCCACUAGAAGAGGAUCUUAAUGAUGAUAGCAAUGAAAUGGAUUAUCCUAAAGAUUAUAAUGAUGACGAUGACGAAGAUGAUGACGAUGAUGAUAAUGUCCAUGAUGGAAACAAUUUGGGUAAGAAAGACUUGUUUUGUUGAACACUUAGCUGUUCAUUAAAACAAUUUAGGGUUGAUGAUACCAUAGCACGUUUGUGAACGUCACAUCUCUUCACCAAAGCAAGAGCACGUGCGUUUACUAUAUGAAUAUACACACACAACACACAAUCCCAGUGGUUACGAAGAGUUAACGUUAACGCCCGAACAUCAGCUUCACAAACUCGCUACAACGGUUGAUUUACCUUAUCAACUCAACUUUACGUUUUACCCUUGGUUUGCUGGCACAGAUUUAAUCUAAUCACCCGAAUGACUUUAGAAAAAUAUGAGAGUUAUCCAACAGUUAUGGGCGUGUGAAGAAAGAAGGGGUGAGGGAAAGUGCCAUCUAGGUAUUGAGAGUAUGUUUUGCAAUUUAAAACGAGAUUUCCUAUAUAUUUACAACAUUUUCCUACUUCCUGAGAAAGAUGUAAAAUGGAAUAUGGCGGACUUUGUGGCGUUACGUCAUGAGCUUUCUUUUACGUUUGGAGGUAAUAAUAAAGACGUUAAGA